UGGUAUCUCAAUUUGUUUAUCUGCAAUCUCCUUUUACAACUCAUUCUGUUGUUUUAUCAUCUCAUCUUUGAGCUCUUGUUUUAUUACAUUUAUAUUUCUACUAAUUUAUUCUCUACAGGAAAACAUUCAUGAGGAAGCCACUUUUAUCACCCAAUUUAUGUUUCUUCUAGAUUGGGUUCUGGACUUUUCCAUACCAUGCCUGACUUUUCCAUAUCAUGCCUGACUUUUUGACUAAUUGAUUUUCCUGUAGUAUGUCUGCCUAGUUGCUCUGUCAUUUCUUUUCAUCUUGCUUAUGCUUAAUAUAAACAUUUCUGUCUCUGACAGUCUUCUCUCCCCUAUACAUUCACCUUCCCCUACUUUGAACUUCAUUCUGAGGCCUGGAUGUUGUCAGUCUAGCCAUUUUUCUGUAGCCUGAGAGAAGCCAGAGCUCAGCCAGGAAUUAGUUUUGCUCUUGUUGAGGAAUCUGUGCUCCAAGAGCACAGUGCCUUGUGUCUAGGAGACCACUAAAUGCCUAGGACCAGGGCCCACUGCCUACAGCCACAAGAGUGACCGACCCACCCCAUGGGCUUUGGCUCAUCCUCCAUCCAAGC